AGGAUGAACGCUGGCGGUAUGCUUAACACAUGCAAGUCGAACGGUGCUUUAGGGCACAGUGGCGGACGGGUGAGUAACGCGUGAGAAUCUGGCUCUAGGUCUGGGACAACCACUGGAAACGGUGGCUAAUACCGGAUGUGCCGAGAGGUGAAAGGUUAACUGCCUAGAGAUGAGCUCGCGUCUGAUUAGCUAGUUGGAAGUGUAAUGGACUCCCAAGGCGACGAUCAGUAGCUGGUCUGAGAGGACGAUCAGCCACACUGGGACUGAGACACGGCCCAGACUCCUACGGGAGGCAGCAGUGGGGAAUUUUCCGCAAUGGGCGAAAGCCUGACGGAGCAAUACCGCGUGAGGGAGGAAGGCUCUUGGGUCGUAAACCUCUUUUCUCAGGGAAGAACACAAUGACGGUACCUGAGGAAUAAGCAUCGGCUAACUCCGUGCCAGCAGCCGCGGUAAUACGGAGGAUGCAAGCGUUAUCCGGAAUGAUUGGGCGUAAAGCGUCCGCAGGUGGCAAUGUAAGUCUGCUGUUAAAGAGUGAGGCUCAACCUCAUAAGAGCAGUGGAAACUACAUAGCUAGAGUACGUUCGGGGCAGAGGGAAUUCCUGGUGUAGCGGUGAAAUGCGUAGAGAUCAGGAAGAACACCGGUGGCGAAGGCGCUCUGCUAGGCCGUAACUGACACUGAGGGACGAAAGCUAGGGGAGCGAAUGGGAUUAGAUACCCCAGUAGUCCUAGCCGUAAACGAUGGAUACUAGGCGUGGCUUGUAUCGACCCGAGCCGUGCCGUAGCUAACGCGUUAAGUAUCCCGCCUGGGGAGUACGCCGGCAACGGUGAAACUCAAAGGAAUUGACGGGGGCCCGCACAAGCGGUGGAGUAUGUGGUUUAAUUCGAUGCAACGCGAAGAACCUUACCAAGGCUUGACAUGUCGCGAAUCUUGAUGAAAGUUGAGAGUGCCUUCGGGAGCGCGAACACAGGUGGUGCAUGGCUGUCGUCAGCUCGUGUCGUGAGAUGUUGGGUUAAGUCCCGCAACGAGCGCAACCCUCGUUUUUAGUUGCCAGCAUUAAGUUGGGCACUCUAGAGAGACUGCCGGUGACAAACCGGAGGAAGGUGGGGAUGACGUCAAGUCAGCAUGCCCCUUACGCCUUGGGCUACACACGUACUACAAUGCUCCGGACAGAGGGCAGCAAGCAUGCGAAUGCAAGCAAAUCCCGUAAACCGGAGCUCAGUUCAGAUCGCAGGCUGCAACUCGCCUGCGUGAAGGAGGAAUCGCUAGUAAUUGCAGGUCAGCAUACUGCAGUGAAUUCGUUCCCGGGCCUUGUACACACCGCCCGUCACACCAUGGAAGCUGGUAGUGCCCGAAGUCAUUACUCCAACCUUUCGGGGGGGAGGAUGCCUAAGGCAGGACUGGUGACUGGGGUGAAGUCGUAACAAGGUAGCCGUACCGGAAGGU
rnacentral:rRNA from 1 species